GGGGCUGUAGCUCAGUUGGGAGAGCGCUUGACUGGCAGUCAAGAGGUCGCCAGUUCGAUCCUGGUCAGCUCCACCA
rnacentral:tRNA from 1 species